rnacentral:rRNA from 1 species
CAAAUUGCGGUGAAUACGUUCCCGGGUCUUGUACACACCGCCCGUCAAACCAUGAAAGUCACCAACGACCCGAAGUCCGAUUUUUCGGCCUAAGGUGGGGGGGAUGAGUUGGGGUU